UGGGGAGCAAACAGGAUUAGAUACCCUGGUAGUCCACGCCGUAAACGAUGAGUGCUAAGUGUUGGAGGGUUUACUCCCUUCAGUGCUGAAGUUAACGCAUUAAGCACUCCGCCUGGGGAGUACGGUCGCAAGACUGAAACUCAAAGGAAUUGACGGGGGCCCGCACAAGCGGUGGAGCAUGUGGUUUAAUUCGAAGCAACGCGAAGAACCUUACCAGGUCUUGACAUCCUGUGACAACCUUAGAGAUAAGACUUUUCCUUCGGGACCAGAGUGACAGGUGGUGCAUGGCAGUCGUCAGCUCGUGUCGUGAGAUGUUGGGUUAAGUCCCGCAACGAGCGCAACCCUUAUUUUUAGUUUCCAUCAUUCAGUUGGGCACUCUAAGGAGACUGCCGGUGACAAACCGGAGGAAGGUGGGGAUGACGUCAAAUCAUCAUGCCCCUUAUGACCUGGGCUACACACGUCAUACAAUGGUUGGUACAAAGGGAUGCUAACUCGCGAGGGGGAGCCAAUCUCGGAAAACCAAUCUCAGUUCGGAUUGUAGUCUGCAACUCGCCUACAUGAAGUCGGAAUCGCUAGUAA
rnacentral:rRNA from 1 species